UAGAAUUCCAGGUGUAGCGGUGAAAUGCGUAGAGAUCUGGAGGAAUACCGGUGGCGAAGGCGGCCCCCUGGACGAAGACUGACGCUCAGGUGCGAAAGCGUGGGGAGCAAACAGGAUUAGAUACCCUGGUAGUCCACGCCGUAAACGAUGUCGACUUGGAGGUUGUGCCCUUGAGGCGUGGCUUCCGGAGCUAACGCGUUAAGUCGACCGCCUGGGGAGUACGGCCGCAAGGUUAAAACUCAAAUGAAUUGACGGGGGCCCGCACAAGCGGUGGAGCAUGUGGUUUAAUUCGAUGCAACGCGAAGAACCUUACCUGGUCUUGACAUCCACGGAAGUUUUCAGAGAUGAGAAUGUGCCUUCGGGAACCGUGAGACAGGUGCUGCAUGGCUGUCGUCAGCUCGUGUUGUGAAAUGUUGGGUUAAGUCCCGCAACGAGCGCA
rnacentral:rRNA from 1 species